GAGGACCGUAUUCAUGGAAGAGGAUUGAACAGAAGCAGAUGAAUAUAUGGGAGAUGAAGUAGACAGUACGUUGGAUAAAUCUGGAGUAAAGAACCCAGCAAUUGGUAAAGAUGAGAAUAUAUCGCCUCAAGUAAAAGGAGAUGAAGACAUGGGAGAUGAAAUUGACAGUAUGUUGGCUACAUCUGGAGGUCUUUUCUCCUGAGAACACGGGACUCCAGCAUCUUCGGAUUCUGCUCUUGGAGGUGUGAGUCCCUGCCUCUCUGCACAGGGGAACUUAUGUCUCUCCACAUGUCCGCAAAUGUCUACCCAAGAUUAUACAUCUUCCAAAGGCUUUCAAAUACUUCUUUACAUAAACAAGGGGUUUGCCCCACAUCCUCUAUAUUGCAGAAAACAAGACUAGGCUCUACCUCUGUAGAUCAAGCACGACUGAAAUCCGUGCUCUCAAAAGAUGCUGGGGAGAAAGAGUGCCAUUCUUCACAAAUGCUGGCUGUGUUCACCUGCACACAUCGCUGCAUCAUUGGACUGAAAGUGAAUGGCCCAUGUGUUGCCACUGAUGUGAGCCAUUUGCCUGUUGUGCUUCA
rnacentral:precursor_RNA from 1 species